CAGAUCGUCUUUGACUUCCUCUUGGAUACUGAUAUGGUAGAUUCUGCACCCAUCCAAAAUUGGCCUUGAGAUGUGCGUGGCCUUGCAUUGCUUGAUCAUACAUUUCAAGAAAUGAACAUAGAAGACUACAUGUUCCAUCAUGCUCUGGCCUGCUUGUGGCAUUGUGGGUAAGGUAGGACAGGGAUAGGCGACUCUACCUGAGGG